AAAAAGAUGUGAAAAGUACUUGAGAGUUUUUGGCAGUUGAAAAACGCUGCCAGAUAAAAGAAAAGCUGAAACCAUUUGAAUAAAAGUAAUAGAUAGGAUCUGACAUCCAUGACACAAACAUUUUGAGUUUAAGCAUUAGGGUUGUCUCACAAAGAACUGAAAAUUGGAAGAACAGUUGUGAACUGCAAUGCCCGGUCAAACAGUCAACCUGAUGUUCGUAUAUCCGUUUGAAAGUAAACCCACUGCAUGAUCCAACCGGAUAUAUGAAUUGAAAUAUCUGUUCGAAAAGGAAAAAAUUAAUCAAAAUUAUUGAAGUUAUUUAAACAGUCUUUUAUUUUUAUAUCAAAUGAUGUAUCUUCUAAAAACAAAAACAAGUCUUUGUUGGCGAUCUCGCUGUUUACCCAUUUGAGACAAGGCGCUCGUUCGAAGCCCGAUGAUUAUAGUUAUGGUUUCGUUAUAUCGGCGGAGGCGAGUUUUUGGGAUGCUAGAAUUGGUGGGAUUUUACGGCAAUAGUUGAUGGGUUUGGUUUGGAUUUGUUUGUUGGCUCUGCUAUUGUUGAUUCUUGCUUUAAGCUUUGGCGGGCGAUUAUAGCUAUUAAGAUGUUUGAUAGAUUGCCUUAAAGAGAUACUGUUUUGUUUAAUACAAUGAUAUCUGAGUUUGUUAAGAAUUCUUGUUUUGAGGAUUCAAUUAGAGUUUUUGGAGGUAUGACCCAAGUUUGAUUUGACCACAGUUAUAGCUGUUUCAUCACCUGCUGUGGCUGAGUUACAAAUCUGUGCAUUGCAUUUCUGUGAAAAAGGAAAUGUUUCGGAUAAGCUUAAUGACCUGUUUCAUGCAUCGUUUUCCCCCCUUUUGCUGUGUGUAUACCAACGUCGAAAAAAAGAAAAAUCACCUGUGACAAAUUUGAUAGUGGUUUAGCGAAAGCAGUUAUGAUUUUCUGGUUUUAUUGAUUUCUAUGGGAUGUGCAUGCGAUUCUCCAUUUGGGAAAAAAAUGAAAUCAACAAAUUUUUCCACUGCUUUUUUCGCAUGCUGCUUACAUUAUCUGGAGCUGAACACAAAGGUUUGUUUAUAAUUUCCCCUCAGUUUUCUGACAAUCUAGUUCUUAUUGAAGGGUUAGGACAAGAGCGAUUGUAAGUUAUUUUGGAGAUCGUGAUAUCCUUCAUUGAACGUGACCGAUGGAUAAUAGCGGAGACUUGCCUCGCAGCUAAGCUCAAAGAUAAUAGAAAAUGUCAUCCUUCUGUCAUCAAUCUCAAGAUAUAUUUAAGAAACAAGCAGAAAUCGACAGUGGUAUAAAUAGAUAAUAGCAUCUUCCAGCAUGGGAUCCUUAAUCAAUGAAGGAUUUGAGGUUAAGUUCUUCUAGUGAGGGGUUCUGUGAAGAUCUUCACAAGAGCACUAGGAUUUGCUUUGAAAUCCAUGUUCAAGCACUUCGAGUUUUCUUGAUUGACAGGGAAUUUCAUACAGUUUAGAAGAAAUCCAAUUUUAAGGUCCCCUGGUUUUCAUCACAAAUGGAUCAAUCCGGACCCAAAGCAAGGAGAAGAUGGAAGCCAAGAGCACUGACCAUAUAACCACUAUAGUCGGUGUCCUGUUUUGCCUCCCC